UCCCUGGUGGCUCAGACGGUAAAGCGUCUGCCUACAAUGUAAGAGACCCAGGUUCAAUCCCUGGCUCGGGAA
rnacentral:tRNA from 1 species